rnacentral:rRNA from 1 species
UUGAACGCUGGCGGCAUGCCUUACACAUGCAAGUCGAACGGUAGAGGGGCAACCCUUGAGAGUGGCGAACGGGUGAGUAAUAUAUCGGAACGUGCCCAGUCGUGGGGGAUAACGCAGCGAAAGCUGCGCUAAUACCGCAUACGAUCUAUGGAUGAAAGCGGGGGAUCGCAAGACCUCGCGCGAUUGGAGCGGCCGAUAUCAGAUUAGGUAGUUGGUGGGGUAAAAGCCCACCA